rnacentral:ncRNA from 1 species
UCCCGCUUUUCCUCCCUGAGCGGGUGCCUCGGCCUAGCGCCGGGGCGUAUUACACCCCGGUCAUUCUCCCCUUGGGCCGGGGUUUCUUUU